rnacentral:rRNA from 1 species
CCUACGGGGGGCUGCAGUGGGGAAUAUUGGGCAAUGGGCGAAAGCCUGACCCAGCGACGCCGCGUGGGCGAUGAAGGCCUUCGGGUUGUAAAGCCCUGUCAUGCGGAAAGAACGACCCUGUGACGCAUACUCACAGGGAGUGCCGGUACCGCAGGAGGAAGCACCGGCUAACUCCGUGCCAGCAGCCGCGGUAAUACGGAGGGUGCAAGCGUUGUUCGGAAGUGCGUGGGGGGUAGGGCAAGUCGGCGGUGAAAUACUCCGGCUCAACCAGAGAAUUGCAUCUGAAACUGCAUAACUAGAGUACAGAAGAGGGAAACGGAAUUCCCGGUGUAGAGGUGAAAUUCGUAGAUAUCGGGAGGAACACCAGUGGCGAAGGCGGUUUCCUGGUCUGAUACUGACGCUGAGGCGCGAAAGUGUGGGGAGCAAACAGGAUUAGAUACCCCAGUAGUC